rnacentral:lncRNA from 1 species
AUCAUCAAAAAUAAUUUCAUCGCUAAAAAUUUAUACAUAAUUUUUUUAAAAAUAAUUUAUGAAUAUAAAUUUUUAAUUUAUAUUUAUAAUAUUUUUUAUUUAUAAUCUAUAAAAUUAAAAUAAAAAAUUUAUAUAAAAAAUUUAUAAAUAAAUAUUAUCAUUUUAUUGUAUUAAAUUAAAAUUAUAAGAGAUUUGAAAUAAAAAUAAAAAGUAACAUAAACAGACUGUCAAGUGUCGGCAUUUACAGAAGGAGAACGGGCU